GGCCUGAGGGGCCACAAUGGCGUCGUGCUAAGAAAGCAAAGAUUAUAAUGAAACUAUGUACUGUCCAGUUUAUCAAUGCUUCAUCCCUUAUUGUAUGUACACAGAGUAGAUAUAGCUUUAUAUAAAUCUCCAUGGAGAGUCUUCUACCUGUGAAUAUUUUGAUGCCAUUGACUACAGUCACACCUUGUUAUUGCAAAUUCAACAGGACUGAAAUUAAAUUUGAGAUAUCCAAGGAUUUGCGAUAACAAGGAUAACACACACACAAAAAAGAAGUGGUUUGGACUGGCAACUCUAUUUACAUAUUCCCGAUAACGAAGAUUAGCUGUACAUGUAUUAAAAACACACAUACAGCUUUGAAUUCAAGCAAUACCAAGAAUAUUUAUCCUUCAUACAGGAAUAAUGCUUCUAAUACAUCUGUACAGUAGCUCUUUUCACACAAAAAUUCAAUUACAGAUAUAUUUUUUUACAAUUCCAUUCAUUUCUUCAGAAUAUUUUUCAAAGGAUUAUUUAUAAUAUCUAAUGUUAUUAAAUAAUGAAGAUUUUUGUGAUCAACCAUUGCUCUCAAUUAUUCACACAUCUUUGCUAGCCAAGGGAGUACUCUACAAUCCUUGGCACAGAUGUAAUUCACAAAGAACUGAAAAUUUGUGCAUUAAGAUAUUUAGUGAAAAAGUCAACUGUUGUGAGAACUCUCCUUUUAAUAGUUGUAAAGGGCAGCAUUGCAUGUACUUGUUGAUAACAUAAUAAAAACAAGAAAUAAGUUUUAAACCAAAAUUUUAAUAAGAAAUAUGUGCAACAAUGUAAACAACUAUGGACCAUUUGUAGUAUAUAUCACUGCUAGCAUCUCAAGAGGUGAAAAUCUAGUCAGAUUAAAAAAAAAAAUUUGUUAAUUCAGUAACUUUUACCUCCACAAAAACCUUUACUUGAAAGCCUUAUAAUAAUGAAUGCUUCCGCGCUUGGUUUGUUUACAAUAACAUUGUUUAUAUACCGAGUUGACCAAUGAUUUGCAAACCUACAGAUGCGUUAAUACCCUACUGAGAAUGCUACAGUCAAAUAAACAUUACCUACCCUAAAAUGUAAUGACCAUAAAUAAUCCGCGAUAUACUAUUUCUCAGUUUAAAUUUCGCCAACAGCACGCAAUGUUUACAAACAAAACCCACGCUAUCUUUCGUCUAGACACGCUAUCGUUUCAGACAUCACGUGACUUUGCAAAUGUAGUUCGCAUUGAAAUUGGAAUUUUUAUUUGAUUUGUUUUUAUUUUUUGUGAAAGUUUUUAUAUGUUAAAGUAAAUCAAUGUGAUAAUUUUCAUUUGUUUCUCAUUAACAACUUUAAAAUGUCGUAAAUCAUUAAACAGUACAGAUAUUCAUACGUCAUUACAAAAAGCGCGGGAUUUUUCCGCGGAAGCAUCGAUAGUCUGACACCUUCGGUCGCGUAAACUUUUCAGCUGAUUCAGUCGUACACGCUGACUAGAUGCCGUUCGAGCAAAGCUCGACGCCAUAAUAAUAAAAAACAACAGAAUUUUACUUAAAAGUAUGUGCCACAUUCCUUCGUACAUAUUAUAUGUCUUUGUUGAUAUACUUUGUCGAGUACAUGUAGCCUGUGCUCCCCUUUUACAAUUUUUUUCUUUCAAACCUGAGAAAAUCAAUUAGUAGAGUAAUUUGUUAAGAAAACUUAAUUUCCUUAAAUGCUAUUUACCUUUUUCUUCGCGUUAUGAGUAAAAUCCCAAAGUAAACUGUGUCCUUUUGAUAUCAAUUUCAAUAAUAGUACAGUGUAAUACUCAAACGCCUGAACAAUGGUGGAUGAACCUUCAUCCUAAAUGAGGAAGAAAUUUACAGGAAAUCAGAGAACAGACCACUAAGAGCGCGUUUGAUUACAAGCAAACCGAAACCGGAUUCGUAAACCGUGUCGUUUGUUUCUGCAAAAACCGGAACCAGAUUCGAGAAACCGCGAAUCCUGCUCUGAGGCUGGAUUUUUUGGUUUCAAGAUGGCGGCCGAUAAAGUUCCGGAGGUGACCAUUCUACAUUGAUCCAGUGCCUUUUUAGGGGAUUCGAAACUGUGACCGUGAGAUGUAUGAGAGUUUGACUUCUAGGUGGGCAAUUCUACUUUCACUUUAAACGGAUGGCAGGUGCCUGAGUGUAUCCCAAACCCAUUUCCAGGCUAGCAUCAGAUGUCAUGAUUGAUGAUAAUUUGGAACCUAUUCUAACCCGGAUCCUCACAAAAGAAGCAUUAUUAACCUAUGUAAACAAAACAUGGCACGAGCCUAGUUUACAUAACAAAGAAUUGCCAGCUCUGUAUCUCCCAUAUACCUCGACAACCGACAUUCAAAUUUUUGCUGAUCAUUAGAACUACCUUAAUCAAGCAUUCUAGACAUUAAAAUUGGAAAAAAAAUUCAGCUCAAUUCGUGUCCAUGCCCCUUUAAAGGUCGUUUGUCACUUUCCAUUCAAAGAAAAAUGCGCAUUAUAAAAUCUUGGUUAACAUUGCUGGAAUCAGAGAACUGUAUAAU